rnacentral:rRNA from 1 species
AUGCAGUGGAUGUCUGCUCUAUCGAUGCCUCUCCUUAGCUGCACGUACGCAUGCAGCAAGUCAAGAACACGGCCGAACACGAAGAUCGAAGCACACAGAAGUAAGGUAUGUACUUCCUCCGUCACGUUCAUUCGAGCGACAAAUAAUUUCGAAUGGAGGGAGCAUAUGCUUUGUUCGUCCAGUAAAUACCGUGACAAGAGGCAAAACGACUCUGAUGUAACUGAUUUGAAAAUAUUGUACCCCGAAAAGGUAGAUUUGCAAGGACAAAAACAACUAAAAUACUGGCAGCGUAACGAGAGGUAG